CCAGUGGGCUUGUGGCUCGCCCGUCUCGGCCUGACGCGAUUUCCGUUCGCAUGUUUUCUAUCAAAACGCCGCCAAUCGCCCUAAUCUCGAUCUUUUCCGCCCUUAAACUGUGUAGUUUUGCCCGGAACCGGUCGUACGUAAAUAGUGCUCCGCUCUUAAAGUAGUCGUCCGGACCCGCCUUAAACCCCUUCAACGUUGUGUUUUUGUUUCGCACUUUGUCGCUUUCCAAAUGGCAGUUCGCUGCUGCCUGCCGGUGAAGCUUGUUUAAAAAAGGCCCGAAAACUUCGUGAAAAUGUUGACGCGGUGGAAGAGCAAAGACAAGGACAAGGACAAGUGCGAAAAGUCGACGUCCAAUCAAAAGUCCAGCUCCUCGUCAACGUCGAAGAAGAAGCGAAAGAUCGGCAGGGAUGGAGAGGAAGAAUGGAAUUCCGAUGGAAAAUCCGGAAGAGGAAGCGACGGAA
rnacentral:lncRNA from 1 species